CCCCGGUCCCUGCAGAGUCCCCGGCCCGCUGCCGCCUCUGCCGCGGCCCCCUCGGAUCCCGAGCUGGUGGGACGGACGGACGGACGCGCAGACCCCUCGCGCCUCGCUCUCGGCCGCUGCCGCCCCCCGGGGCCCCGCGUCGGGGAAGCUGGGCUCGCCUCGGGAGCCCCGCGAGGGUCAGCACGCAGGGGUGGAUUCCGGGCGGAGGCUCACGGAGCCGUUCAGUGACACCAGUCCCCACCCCCAGCACAACUCCCGGCGGUUUCCCAGGGCCUGGCUACAGGGCAAGGUUUCUGACCGUGCACAGGAGGCCAAGCCUUCCAGAUGAAGAGUGGAUCAGAGUGCCAACCACGUGGACACAGCUCUCCCCCCAGAUGGGCUUUGGCACAUCUUGCACAUUUUCUCCGUCCAGAGAGAGAUACACAUACAUGAGACGAUGUGCCAAAACAUAAAAGGUGGAAUUAAAACAUGGUGCCCUGGCUCCAAAAUCUUGCCUCUCCCCACCUCACCUGCAGUUUAUAGUGAAACCUUUUUUAAGAGCAUCGUGGGAUGUUGGAUAAAAAUCCUUGAUCUCCCAGUUCUGAGGCACUUGUAAUUAUUUCACAGGUGUUCACUCGGCAAGAACCUAAUCCAGAAACCCUUCCAAAGAGGGGGUAAGUUUCUCUGUGCAGCAAAUGACUACAAGCACAUCUGCAUUGACAAGUCACAACUUCUAUCCUUCUAUGGUGUUUCUGCUCUUUUGAAAAUGUUAAUAAAAACUUAAUGUGGAAAAAAAACAACUUUUUCCAAAUAUGUGUACCAAUGAGCCCAAGGCAACUCAUACAUUCUUAUAAAAUAAAGUAGGUCACUCACAUCAA